CGAGUUUUGCCCGCAAGGGUAGAUCUCCCACCCUAUGUUAUUCCUUCUCUGUUGCUUUGGCGGGCCGCCCGGCCUCGGUCACGGCCACCGGCUCCGGCUGGUGAGCGCCCGCCAGAGGACCCCAAACCCUAAAUGUCAGUGUCGUCUGAGUACUAUAUAAUAGUUAAAACUUUCAACAACGGAUCUCUUGGUUCUGGCAUCGAUGAAGAACGCAGCGAAAUGCGAUAAGUAAUGUGAAUUGCAGAAUUCAGUGAAUCAUCGAAUCUUUGAACGCACAUUGCGCCCCCUGGUAUUCCGGGGGGCAUGCCUGUUCGAGCGUCAUUACAACCCUCAAGCAAUGCUUGGUAUUGGGCUCCGCCGCUUACCCGGCGGGCCUUUAAACCAGUGGCGGCGCCGUCGAGGCCCUGAGCGUAGUAAAUAUCCUCGCUAUAGGGACCCGGCGGACGCUGGCCAUCAACCAUCACCUUCUUUAGUUUGACCUCGGAUCAGGUAGGGAUACCCGCUGAACUUAA
rnacentral:rRNA from 1 species